AGGCCGGAGGUGGCUCCGGGAGCUCAGCUCUGUGGGCUCCCCUGGCGGCAGGUUUUGGUAGAGCAGCACAGACCCAGCACCACGGGUAACAGCUGGUCAGCAGAAGUCAGUCUGGAUACAGUUGGGGGCAGGGAAAGCUGUGAGGUGGCAGAGAAAUCAGCCUCCUGCCAAGUGCCAGUGCCAGGCUGUGAGUCAACCCAGGAACACCCGCUGCUGAACCUGCGGCACCAAGCCCAAGCCCACGUUCCAUCUCCAGGGAAACCAAGCCCCUCCCCUCGCGAUCCGGGUCCCACGCCGAAUAAUGCCUCGUGGAAUCAGAGGGGCAGUUUUUUGGGGAGGUGUCGAAGAAGAAAAAAAUAGAGAAUGCCUAAAUUUUUUUACUUCUACUAGAACUUAAAGUAAUGGGGCUUCGGGAAAGAUCAUGCAUUUCUUUGCUUGUGUGGAGGCGCUGAGCUAGCGGGGACCCCCUGCCGCAGAAACCGCAGAGAAGUCGCUCUGUGCAGCCCUGGGCUGUCGGGGACCCCCACCAGCUGUGCCGGACCCUCAUGAGCACAACCGAGGGCCCAGGACAGGAGCACCCCACUGGGCCAGGACGUGCGUGGGCCCUUCAAGGUUUAUUCUGACCCCGGAGCGCCAAGUGUGACAUUUCCACUUUAAAUAUCAUCCUGGGCGGCCGGGGUCCUAGAACAUCGAGGCCCCCAGGGCGGAAGAGGAGUUCGGGGACCAAGCCGGGCUGCCAUUCAGUCCAAACCCUUCCUUCUGCAUCACAGCUUAUGGGAUCGAAAAGCCAGGACAGUCAUCUUGAGCUUUUUUACUGGAGACCCCAGACCUCUGUGUCCCCCUCUCCUCUGCUUCCAUUCUGGGGCUGCAUGAGCCAAUUGUCAUUUCGUGCCCUACACCGAAAAAGAAACCGCAGUUAUAAACACAAACACUGCCCGGGUCGAGCUCUGGCCCCCGGGGAAGACCAGUCCUACAGGACAGCGAUGCAGAACCUGGGGAUGCUUUCCUAGCUCCCAGGACGAGGCAGAGUAAGAUCGAGUUUUUUCGACUGCAAAGAAAGCUUUGGCGGAGUCUAAUCCAUGCGAUCGGCAGUGUACAGCCAAGAAGGCUCGAAAAGCAGGUUUGAAUGAGGAGGAACCCAGCAAAGGCAGAGAAUGGGAACAAUGGAAACCGAGGGAGACAAAGAGAUCAGAAAAGGUGGCCAAGGAGAACACCCACCAUCGGUGACUCACACCUUCACCGGGAAGCUGCUCAGCUGGCCAAGCCCUGAGGUCUGGUUAUCUCUCCGGCCCAAGUGUCUGCAGAUCCAAAGAAGCUGAUGAGGUCACACACAAGUGCAGAUGUGUCUGGCCCAAAGGUCAUCAUGUUUCCAUUAUUUACCCCAAAGCAUCUGUCUUUCUCUGCUGGGCCACUAAGAACUGUGACAGAAAAGCAGACCUCACUGUUCAAGCUGAAAGUGCCCGGUGGGGAUCCAUCAAGUUACCUGAACAAAGCGCACCGAGGACAACCACGAGCACCUGAAGGGCAGACAGCACGUGACCCAGGACGGUAGAUGAUUAGAAAUAGAGCGACUGAGAAACAGAUACAGCAAAACUUGAUAUUUUCUGAUGUGGAAUUAAGGAACCAACAAGAGUCACAUGCAACGGGAAGACAUCAUACAGCGAGAUACCAUGUGUUCUUUACCCGAUUUUCACCGGUGGGAACAUCUCGCGGACUCGAACACAAAUCUCCGCCCGGAGACUGCCCGUGGGGCCAUCCCCAGAUCUUGCUCAGAUGUCGCUGUCUCACAUGCACUUAUUUGGGUGCAUGUUAGUUAGCGCUGUGCUAUCUCACCACAUGCGGAGCCUGUACAGGAUGAGAACUGAGGUGAGCUGCUCCUUGACUCCCACUGUGUGCAACCCAGGCCCCACCCCGGCUGUCAGGUCACGUGCGCCUGAGGGCAGACAAGUUGACAAAUCUAAAGAAAAGGAGCAUCGCCCUGGCCAGUUUGACUCAGCAGUAGAGUGUUGGCCCGCGGACUGGAGAGUCCCAGGUUCAGUUUCUGCUAACGAUAAAUGCAAAAAUGUUCUCAGGUGAGGAUUUAAAAAAAGAAUAGGAGCAUCAUCUGGGUCCUCCAUAGGUCCACCUUGGAGCUCACGGUGCCAGCAUUGCCCUGUGUCCAUGAUCACGCUGGGGCCCAGAUGAGCUCUUUUCCUCAUCUCAAGUCAGAAGAAAACACAGGUGACCUUCAUGAGUCAAGUCUGUGUUUGCCAAGUGACCUCAUGGGAGGGUCACAGCCAAAGUUUUCAUAGGAGUCUGAAGACACAGUGUGGUGUGAGGUCUGCAUCGUGGGCGAUGCCCGGCCGGAAGGAGUGACUAGGCACACGAGGGACACAGCGAGGGGUCAUCCGAACCACAGGCCCUUUGGGAGGGCCAACUCGCUUAAGGGGUAACUGUUGAUGUCGUGGCCCUAAAGCCACUCUACUUGAAGAAAUCACAACAAGAGCAGUUGAGUUCCUACCCAGAAAGCUAAGUCUGUCCAAUUUAAUGCCAUACCGACAUCCCUGUGCCUUUGGUAAACAGCUGGUGGCCAUCUGGGAUCGUGGGGCUACAACUCACAUCACCCAAGUCAGUUUCGAAUCCCGCCCCGGGCGUCCUGCAGUAGCCGGAACGCCCUGGCAGUGUGGGCACGUGACUUACUAAACUGCCCUCCAAAUCAAGCCCAUUAUUACGUUUUUUUAUCCUCACCCAAGGACAUUUUUGCACUUAUCUUCAGAUAGAGCAGGAGGGGGAGGAAGAGAGAGAAAUGUUGAUGUG